GGAGUUUGGGCCGUGUCUCAGUCCCAAUGUGGCCGAUCACCCUCUCAGGUCGGCUACUGAUCGUCGCCUUGGUAGGCCGUUACCCCACCAACUAGCUAAUCAGACGCGGGUCCAUCCUGUACCACCGGAGUUUUUCACACAAGGUCAUGCGGCCUCGUGCGCUUAUGCGGUAUUAGCAGUCGUUUCCAACUGUUGUCCCCCAGUACAGGGCAGGUUACCCACGCGUUACUCACCCGUCCGCCACUCGGAAUAAACUUCCGAUCCGAAGACCUUCCAUUCAUUCCUCGUUCGACUUGCAUGUGUUAAGCACGCCGCCAGCGUUCAUC
rnacentral:rRNA from 1 species